rnacentral:rRNA from 1 species
AUUGAACGCUGGCGGCAUGCUUUACACAUGCAAGUCGAACGGCAGCACGGACUUCGGUCUGGUGGCGAGUGGCGAACGGGUGAGUAAUACAUCGGAACGUACCCAGUACUGGGGGAUAACUAUCCGAUAGGAUAGCUAAUACCGCAUACGCCCUACGGUGGAAAGAGGGGGAUCGCAAGACCUCUUGAUAUUGGAGCGGCAGAUGGCUGAUGAGCUAGUUGGUAGGGUAAAGGCCUACCAAGGCAACGAUCAGUAGCGAGUUGUAGAGGACGAUCGGCCACUGGAACUGAGACACGGUCCAGACUCCUACGGGAGGCAGCAGUGGGGAAUCUUGGACAAUGGGCGCAAGCCUGAUCCAGCAAUGCCGCGUGCGUGAAGAAGGCCUUCGGGUUGUAAAGCGCUUUUGUCAGGGAGCAAAUCCUUGUGGCUAAUACCCACCGGGGAUGAGAGUAUCUGAAGAAUAAGGACCGGCUAACUACGUGCCAGCAGCCGCAGUAA